AUUGAACGCUGGCGGCAUGCCUUACACAUGCAAGUCGAACGGUAACAGGCCGCAAGGUGCUGACGAGUGGCGAACGGGUGAGUAAUGCAUCGGAACGUGCCCAGUCGUGGGGGAUAACUGCUCGAAAGAGCAGCUAAUACCGCAUACGACCUGAGGGUGAAAGCGGGGGACCGUAAGGCCUCGCGCGAUUGGAGCGGCCGAUGUCAGAUUAGCUAGUUGGUGGGGUAAAGGCCUACCAAGGCAACGAUCUGUAGUUGGUCUGAGAGGACGACCAGCCACACUGGGACUGAGACACGGCCCAGACUCCUACGGGAGGCAGCAGUGGGGAAUUUUGGACAAUGGGCGCAAGCCUGAUCCAGCAAUGCCGCGUGCAGGAAGAAGGCCUUCGGGUUGUAAACUGCUUUUGUCAGGGAAGAAAUCUUCUGGGCUAAUACCCCGGGAGGAUGACGGUACCUGAAGAAUAAGCACCGGCUAACUACGUG
rnacentral:rRNA from 1 species